UGAGAAUCGAACCCAGGGCCUUGCACAGCACUCUACCGCUAAGCCAUAAUCCCAGCCCCUCUCUCUAUUGGCUUUUCUAGGAUGGUGGGUCUUGCAUGUUUUAAAGCCUCCCGCCCUUCCAUUGUCAUACAUGAGUGUGGGAAUUUGAAUCUCGAAAAUGUCAUUUCUCUUUGAAGGGGAAAUAAUUUUCCCUGUUAGGCAAGGGAUCAAGAUGAAUUGAAAAAAGUAAAUGAAUGGGUGGGGUAUAGCUCAGUAGUAGAGUGCUUAAAUGACACAUAUGAUCCCUAGCACUGCAUUUAAAAAAGAGAGAGAGGGCUGGAGAUGUGGCUCAAGUGGUAGCUGGCUCGCCUAGCAUGCGUGAGGCACUGGGUUCAUUUCUUAGCACAUAAAAAUAAAAUAAAGAUAUCAUGUCCACCUAAAACUAAAAAAAUAAAUAUUUUUAAAAAAGAGAGAGGGCCGGGGUUGUAGCUUAGCGGUAGAGCACUUACUUACCUCACUUGUGAGGCACUGGUUCAAUCCUCAGCAUCACAUUAAAAAAUUAAUAUAAAGGUUUUUUUUUUUAAUUGUAAAGAAAAGAGAGAGAAAUGACAUUUUUGUGUUAGAGCAGUCUAGGAAAACUACGUUAAGGAUCGAUCUCCCUCAAAGAAAAAAUUAGUAAUAGCUCAAAAUAGUUGGAAAAGAGGUAUUUAAAUGCAAUUUAGUUUCUCCCAGUUUAUUUGUAGAUUCUUAAAUCUGAAUUGCUUGGUUUAUUUUUCAGUCUCAUUUUCAGUAUUACCAGGAAAUUUUUAUGAGGUUGUAUACCCAGUUUAAAUAUUUAUUCGUAACUCUCCCUCUGUUGGUAGUGGUAAAAUAAUGGUUUUUGCCAUAUUGAGUAUCAAACCCAGGGCAUCACACUUGCUAGGUAAGCAUUCUACCACUGAGCUAUGUACACACCUUUUUUUAUUUUAAGACAGUGUUAUCUAGGCUGGCCUUGAACUUGAGAUCCAUCUGUAUCAGCUUUCCAGGUAGCUGGGAUAAUAGGUGUCCCACUGCCCACCCCCAAUCCUC
rnacentral:lncRNA from 1 species